ensembl:lncRNA
ACUGUGUUUACUCAAGUUGCCUUUGUUUUAUAUUGUAUUUCAUUUAAAGGUCUAAAACUAUUUAGUAUGAGUGUUACGCCACGGCCAGCAGAUGGCACUGCGGCACGGCUUCUGACUGGUCACGUGACUCUCUUGUUUUCAUUUGCUUCCUGCUUGGACAUUGAUUUAAGUCUGAUCAUGUCUCUGAUUUGCCCCAGGUGUCCAUGUUUUGGUUUGAUUAUGUUGACUAUUUAAAACCCUCCGUGACUGCGCAUUUCGUGUAGUAUUAUUUGGUUUACAUUUGUCAUGUCGAGGAAGUAUGACGGUUACCCAUGCCAUGGGCACUGACACACCCCCAUUCCAUGACAGAUGCUGGCUUUUGGACCUGACGCUGAUAACAGCUUGGAUGGUCCUUUUGGCCCGGAGAACACAACGGCUGUUUUGUCCAAAAACUAUUUUAAAAUGUUGACUUGUCGGACCACAAAACACAAUUCCACUGUGCUACUGUCCAUCUCAGAUGAGACUGAGCUCAGAGAAGUUGGUGGCGCUUCUGGACAGUGUUGUUGUGUGGCUUCUGCUUUGCAUCGUAAAGCCUCGCAUCUGUGGCUGCAGCGACAAAUGGAGUUGAUAGACAAAGCCAAUGGACAAUGGAGUAUUCCCGAGCCUGAGCCAAUAUCCAUUACAGACUCGGUUUUUAACCAUUUUUUAAGACAGUGACAUCUGAGGGAUCUGAGAUCACGCACAUUCAGAAGUGGCUUUCAGCCUUGCCCUUUAUGCACCAAGAUUUGACUGGAUUCCUUGAAUCUUUUAAUUAUAAAGUGCAUUGUAGAAGAUGAAAUGCCCAAAAUCCUACCGAUUUGUCUUUGGAAUGUUGUUCUCAAAGUGUUGGAUUAUUCGCUGAUGCAUCUGUUGGCAGAUUGGCGAGUCUCAACCCAUCCUACCUCUUGAAGGACUAGGCCUGUUUUGGAGGUGCCUUAUAUACUAUGAUUAGAUGAUUGCCUCAUCUGUUUAACAUCACCUUCUUAUUUCAACUUGUCACAUAACUAUUAGUUCUAAAUUGCCCCGUCCCUACUUUUUUGGAAUGUGUUCCAUGCAUCAAUUUCAAAAUAAACAUUUAUCUUCAAAAAACUAUACAAUUAGGUAAAACAUAAAAAUACCUUGUCUUUUUAUUUUGUUGAAAUUUUGUUGAAAAGUACUCAAUAGUACUUGCACUUUUACUAUGUCAAAGUACAUUUACAAAUCGCUCCCCUUUGUUUCUAUUAGCAUUUUCCAUACUGUCCCAACUAUAUCAGAUUUCUGUUUCGGAGAUAUAAAACAGUAACUGAUAUAAUGUUCAAUAUGCUGAUUUUUCUCUUAAUGAGCAGAACACAAAAAUAUAUUAACUGAAAGAAAACACAGUAGCAUCCACACAGGGCAGAUAAAAUGGCUCAUUACUGAAGCCUAUUCAUGAUCUAGAAACUGUUUUGUAGCUAAAAAAAAAAAAAAUCAGAAUCAUAAGAUAAUAAGUCAAUCAUGUUUAACAUAAAUGAUGAGUCAGGUGAUAUUGAAAUUGCAUACUUAUUACAAAUUCAGACAGCUGGGUAUUAACACACAACUGCAACAUCAUAAAGCCUAAUUUGAUACUUAAUGAUAUAUAAAACAUGAAAUAUAUUGUAGACUGAUACAGUAACAUCUUUCUCACCAUUGUAGACGAUGCAGCAUGUAUGGACCCAUUCCUCUAGUGAUCAUUCUGCCUCAUGCAGUCUGAAAUAAUGCAGGACUAUGAGCUCUGGGGCAGCUCUUAUCUGCACAUGCAUCUAUCCUAACCUUCAUUACGUGGAAUACGUGACAGAAUAUUUCGCGUCAACAAGGAA